rnacentral:rRNA from 1 species
UACGUAGGGUGCGAGCGUUGCCCGGAUUUAUUGGGCGUAAAAGGGCGCGUAGGCGGCCACGCACGUCCGUUGUGAAAUCGCCCGGCUCAACUGGGCGGGGUCGGCGGAUACGGCGUGGCUGGAGCAAGCUAGGGGGCAAUGGAAUUCCCGGUGUAGUGGUGGAAUGCGUAGAUAUCGGGAGGAACACCAGUGGCGAAGGCGGUUGCCUGGAGCUU